AGAGGAGCUUGCUCCUCGGAACAGUGGCGGACGGGUGAGUAACACGUGAGCAACCUGGCUCUAAGAGGGGGACAACAGUUGGAAACGACUGCUAAUACCGCAUAACGUAUCGGGAUGGCAUCUUCCUGAUACCAAAGAUUUUAUCGCUUAGAGAUGGGCUCGCGUCUGAUUAGAUAGUUGGCGGGGUAACGGCCCACCAAGUCGACGAUCAGUAGCCGGACUGAGAGGUUGAACGGCCACAUUGGGACUGAGACACGGCCCAGACUCCUACGGGAGGCAGCAGUGGGGGAUAUUGGACAAUGGGGGCAACCCUGAUCCAGCGACGCCGCGUGAGGGAAGAAGGUUUUCGGAUUGUAAACCUCUGUUGACGGAGAAAAAAAUGAUGGUAUCCGUUUAGAAAGCCACGGCUAACUACGUGCCAGCAGCCGCGGUAAUACGUAGGUGGCAAGCGCUGUCCGGAAUUACUGGGUGUAAAGGGAGUGUAGGCGGGAUAGCAAGUCAGAAGUGAAAAUUACGGGCUCAACUCGUAACCUGCUUUUGAAACUGACAUUCUUGAGUGAAGUAGAGGCAAGCGGAAUUCCUAGUGUAGCGGUGAAAUGCGUAGAUAUUAGGAGGAACACCAGUGGCGAAGGCGGCUUGCUGGGCUUUU
rnacentral:rRNA from 1 species